AUUGAAUGUUAAAUUUUUCUCCUUAAAUACCUUUACAAUGAGGUAUUUGAGAGUAUUCUGUAAAAAUUAUUGAAUUGUUUCAAUGAUUUUUAGAGAAAUUUGUUAAAUGUAUGUUUUCAAAAUAACGGUAUACAGGUAUACUUCUCUAUAAUAUAUGAAAACUUGUGUUAAAGCAAAAAUACAUUGUGAGUAUAUAAAUUUCAUGUUGGAACAUCCCAUAUUCCAACUAACGAGUCAACCGCUCGCAUGUAUUUGUUUUCUAGUCCCCAAUCUCAAUAUCUGGUGUAAAUUACUUCCUUCUUUAAGUGUAGUGGAAUUCUGUUGUUUUUGUCAGAGAAUAAAGUAUCCCUUCUUACAGUCAACAUGGGUUCUCCUUUUUCUCCAACACAUCCCUACAUUUG
rnacentral:lncRNA from 1 species